AGCGUACACGGUGGAUGCCCUGGCAGUCAGAGGCGAUGAAGGACGUGCUAAUCUGCGAUAAGCGUCGGUAAGGUGAUAUGAACCGUUAUAACCGGCGAUUUCCGAAUGGGGAAACCCAGUGUGAUUCGUCACACUAUCAUUAACUGAAUCCAUAGGUUAAUGAGGCGAACCGGGGGAACUGAAACAUCUAAGUACCCCGAGGAAAAGAAAUCAACCGAGAUUCCCCCAGUAGCGGCGAGCGAACGGGGAGGAGCCCAGAGCCUGAAUCAGUGUGUGUGUUAGUGGAAGCGUCUGGAAAGGCGCGCGAUACAGGGUGACAGCCCCGUACACAAAAAUGCACAUGCUGUGAGCUCGAUGAGUAGGGCGGGACACGUGGUAUCCUGUCUGAAUAUGGGGGGACCAUCCUCCAAGGCUAAAUACUCCUGACUGACCGAUAGUGAACCAGUACCGUGAGGGAAAGGCGAAAAGAACCCCGGCGAGGGGAGUGAAAAAGAACCUGAAACCGUGUACGUACAAGCAGUGGGAGCACGCUUAGGCGUGUGACUGCGUACCUUUUGUAUAAUGGGUCAGCGACUUAUAUUCUGUAGCAAGGUUAACCGAAUAGGGGAGCCGAAGGGAAACCGAGUCUUAACUGGGCGUUAAGUUGCAGGGUAUAGACCCGAAACCCGGUGAUCUAGCCAUGGGCAGGUUGAAGGUUGGGUAACACUAACUGGAGGACCGAACCGACUAAUGUUGAAAAAUUAGCGGAUGACUUGUGGCUGGGGGUGAAAGGCCAAUCAAACCGGGAGAUAGCUGGUUCUCCCCGAAAGCUAUUUAGGUAGCGCCUCGUGAAUUCAUCUCCGGGGGUAGAGCACUGUUUCGGCAAGGGGGUCAUCCCGACUUACCAACCCGAUGCAAACUACGAAUACCGGAGAAUGUUAUCACGGGAGACACACGGCGGGUGCUAACGUCCGUCGUGAAGAGGGAAACAACCCAGACCGCCAGCUAAGGUCCCAAAGUCAUGGUUAAGUGGGAAACGAUGUGGGAAGGCCCAGACAGCCAGGAUGUUGGCUUAGAAGCAGCCAUCAUUUAAAGAAAGCGUAAUAGCUCACUGGUCGAGUCGGCCUGCGCGGAAGAUGUAACGGGGCUAAACCAUGCACCGAAGCUGCGGCAGCGACGCUUAUGCGUUGUUGGGUAGGGGAGCGUUCUGUAAGCCUGCGAAGGUGUGCUGUGAGGCAUGCUGGAGGUAUCAGAAGUGCGAAUGCUGACAUAAGUAACGAUAAAGCGGGUGAAAAGCCCGCUCGCCGGAAGACCAAGGGUUCCUGUCCAACGUUAAUCGGGGCAGGGUGAGUCGACCCCUAAGGCGAGGCCGAAAGGCGUAGUCGAUGGGAAACAGGUUAAUAUUCCUGUACUUGGUGUUACUGCGAAGGGGGGACGGAGAAGGCUAUGUUGGCCGGGCGACGGUUGUCCCGGUUUAAGCGUGUAGGCUGGUUUUCCAGGCAAAUCCGGAAAAUCAAGGCUGAGGCGUGAUGACGAGGCACUACGGUGCUGAAGCAACAAAUGCCCUGCUUCCAGGAAAAGCCUCUAAGCAUCAGGUAACAUCAAAUCGUACCCCAAACCGACACAGGUGGUCAGGUAGAGAAUACCAAGGCGCUUGAGAGAACUCGGGUGAAGGAACUAGGCAAAAUGGUGCCGUAACUUCGGGAGAAGGCACGCUGAUAUGUAGGUGAAGCGACUUGCUCGUGGAGCUGAAAUCAGUCGAAGAUACCAGCUGGCUGCAACUGUUUAUUAAAAACACAGCACUGUGCAAACACGAAAGUGGACGUAUACGGUGUGACGCCUGCCCGGUGCCGGAAGGUUAAUUGAUGGGGUCAGCGCAAGCGAAGCUCUUGAUCGAAGCCCCGGUAAACGGCGGCCGUAACUAUAACGGUCCUAAGGUAGCGAAAUUCCUUGUCGGGUAAGUUCCGACCUGCACGAAUGGCGUAAUGAUGGCCAGGCUGUCUCCACCCGAGACUCAGUGAAAUUGAACUCGCUGUGAAGAUGCAGUGUACCCGCGGCAAGACGGAAAGACCCCGUGAACCUUUACUAUAGCUUGACACUGAACAUUGAGCCUUGAUGUGUAGGAUAGGUGGGAGGCUUUGAAGUGUGGACGCCAGUCUGCAUGGAGCCGACCUUGAAAUACCACCCUUUAAUGUUUGAUGUUCUAACGUUGACCCGUAAUCCGGGUUGCGGACAGUGUCUGGUGGGUAGUUUGACUGGGGCGGUCUCCUCCUAAAGAGUAACGGAGGAGCACGAAGGUUGGCUAAUCCUGGUCGGACAUCAGGAGGUUAGUGCAAUGGCAUAAGCCAGCUUGACUGCGAGCGUGACGGCGCGAGCAGGUGCGAAAGCAGGUCAUAGUGAUCCGGUGGUUCUGAAUGGAAGGGCCAUCGCUCAACGGAUAAAAGGUACUCCGGGGAUAACAGGCUGAUACCGCCCAAGAGUUCAUAUCGACGGCGGUGUUUGGCACCUCGAUGUCGGCUCAUCACAUCCUGGGGCUGAAGUAGGUCCCAAGGGUAUGGCUGUUCGCCAUUUAAAGUGGUACGCGAGCUGGGUUUAGAACGUCGUGAGACAGUUCGGUCCCUAUCUGCCGUGGGCGCUGGAGAACUGAGGGGGGCUGCUCCUAGUACGAGAGGACCGGAGUGGACGCAUCACUGGUGUUCGGGUUGUCAUGCCAAUGGCACUGCCCGGUAGCUAAAUGCGGAAGAGAUAAGUGCUGAAAGCAUCUAAGCACGAAACUUGCCCCGAGAUGAGUUCUCCCUGACUCCUUGA
rnacentral:rRNA from 1 species